GCCGGAUUAGCACAGUGGUAGUGCAGCGGUUUUGUAAACCGAAGGUCGGGAGUUCAAAUCUCUCAUCCGGCA
rfam:Commensalibacter intestini A911 74_7, whole genome shotgun sequence.